CCUUGUAGCAGCUUGCGACUGUGGGGAGAGCACUUUCCCUUCCUUUAUAGGAUGGAAUGUGAUGUCACAUAGAGCGUCUUCAUGAAGAGGCAGAAAGGAGGUUUUCAAGUUUCCGGCCGCUCGCCUCAGCCACCUGGCUAGAGGGGGCCGUGGGAGGAGAAGAAACGGAUGAAAUGCUCUUAUGAAGGCUUCAGGAGGAACAUAGAGGCAGAGCUGCUUUUGAAGGCGAAGCACUACGACUGAGGUCAGUAACGCCCCCUUCCAAUUAUGCAUGCUCUCAAACUGUCCUCCCAGAACCUGAAUUUGAAAUGCUUGGUGCAAAGCCAAAGUUUCUACAAACUGCCGAGCAUUUUCACCCCCAUGCAGAGACAGAAACAAUUCAUUAUUCGCCUCGCAGUUCCGAUCUCUCCCUUCGUGAGCUAGCUGUAAAAAGCUAUAGUGAUCUGAUAAAAAUUUUUGAACAUGAGCUAUCCCAGGCAAAAAUGGCUUUAUGUUUGAGCAAGAUAAGAGAGAGUCUAGUGCUUUUAAAAAUCUCUAAAAACGCCAUUUUGCCUUCUCCUUCAGAGCCAAAGACACACACCCUGGUGGAUUUUGUGUCAGGCCAAUCAGAACAGAGAGCUGUGCACACGUCACAUGUGUCACAUGAUCAUCUCUAUUCUCAAAUUACAAAUGCCACGAAUGCAGAAAGAUUACCUGAGCUGCCUAAAACUGAAGUUGUAGCACCAUCUGCUGGCAAAACUAAUUCACUAGAGAAAGUUGAAAUGCACCGCAUCUUGAGAGAACAAUUACAAUUAUUGCAGAAGACUCUAUCAGAGAUGUCUUUAACUCACUCAGAUAUUCAGGCUGCAAUGCCACAAGUGUCUCCACAGGCUCAAUUUCCAGCACCCCCUGGUGGUGCUGGUGUCCUUUUAGAUGGAACACAACAAAGCUUAAUGCAGCAAAGGCAAAUGACUGGGUGUCCAGCAGGCCAUGUUAAUAUUGCAGCUCAAAUGCCACAGCUCCAACCAUAAAUGCAUGCACACGUGCCUCCAGCUGUACAACCAGGGCCAAUUCCUGGUCCACAUCAAGCACAGCAAAUACCACAGGUAUUUUUACCGGCACGGCCAGCAUACCAAAUGCAUAUUCCUCACCAGGCAUUUUCUGUUGCUCCACUAGCUGGUGUAUUGAAAUUAAAGAUGACAGGACAGAAUUAUAAGGCCUGGGUCAGUGAGAUUGGAUUGUUACUUCGCAGAGAAGGUACUCACUGUAUUGUUUUUAAUCCUCCUGCUCAGCCAUGGACUCCUGCAAUAAGAGACUUAGACAACAUGCACAACAUUAUUGAUGUCCAUGGAUACUGAACUGCAGGUUACCUUUCCGCCUGAUGCAACAGCCCAACAAAUUUGGGUCCAAUUGGAAAAUUGCUACAGGCCAGUUUCAAUUGAAUCUUCAUGUUUGCUCAUGUACGAGUUCCAUGGUUCGAGAUUGAAACCUGGUGAACAAAUUAGAGGACAUUUGACCAAACUGAAAGGAAUCAGAAGAGAAUUGAGAGAAAGAGGCUAUAAUAUUGAUGAUAUUCAAAUGAUCAGCAUUAUUAUUAACUCACUGAAUUAUGAAUGGAAAGAUGCCAUUACAAAGAUUAAUCUAGUGCCCAUUGCUCAACGCACAGUGGACAAUGUAUGCAGACUUUUAACUGAAGAAGAAGCACUUAUGUUAGCCACUCCACAUUUGAGAGGACCACCCGCAUCAAGAGCUCCAGCUAGGCGCCCCUUCCGAGGAAGGACCUACGCUCCAAGGAUGCCAAGAUGCUACAUCUGAAAUCGUGUGGGACAUGCCACCCGGGAUUGUCCCCAACGAGUUCCAGCUCCCGUCCCAUACCAGCCCAGAGGAACAGACUCCAGAGGCAGAGGCGGAAGACAAGGUUGUCAUGGUCCCCAACAUGAUUCGCAAGCUCCACUCGCCACAUUGGCUUUAACCAAUGAUCCACAACCUCAACCAGAGUAUGACAGACGACUCCUGUGGACUUUGGACAGUGGUGCAGCGUUGCAUGUUACCUACAGAAAGGAACUUUUCACAGAGAUGCACGAGCCUGAACCUGAACUACGUGAACUUUAUUCUUUUUCCAAUCAUCCUUGUCAGGUCAAAGGAAAAGGAACUGUUUAUGUUAAAGAGCUCGAUGCAUUCAUUCCUGAUGUUUAUUAUAUACCAACAGCAACUAGUAAUUUGCUUAGUCAGAGUCACUUGUCUAGAGCAUUAAAGUUCCAGGUUCACCACCUUGAGAAAGCAAGUUACAUAGUUAAAGAUGAAGAUAUUGUUGCUGAAACCAUGUUAAUUGGUGGUGUUUAUUACUUAAAGCCAAAGCCUAAACCGCAAACACAGGCGAGUAUACCAGAAGAGGAGAGCACAGGCCCAGAGAGAGAUGCUCCAGUGAGAGAUCAUAUUGCUACUCCAAAGGCUUCUAAAGCCAACAAAAUGAAAAUUAGGAAACAGGUUGCUCAGAGCAAGCCUGAGGUUCCUCAUAAAAAUGUUAAUGUUGAGAAUUCACUAACUGGUAAACCUUUGCAUUCCAGGUGUAUCCAUAAAUGGCAUAGAAGAUUGGGGCAUGCCAGUUUCCGUGUUCUUAGGAAGAUGCCGGAGUUCGCUAAAGGUUUGGAUCUAAAGGGAUGUAAGGUGUUUUUGGAUUGUGCUGUAUGCAAAAAGGCCAAAUCCAAAGCAGCAGCCCUUCCCAAACGCGCUACACGCCCAUCAACACGCAUUUUUGAUUUGGUUCACACUGACAUAGUUGGUCCUUUUCCGCCAACGCUUAGUGGUAGAAAAUAUUUUCUAACAAUUGUUGAUAAUUAUUCUAGAUAUGGAUAUGUAUAUCCUAUGAAAGAAAAAUCUGAGACUUUUCAGAUCUUUAAAGACUUUGCUGCUCUUGUCUCUACCCAACACCAAGUUCGCAUCGCCAGAAUCCAGAGUGAUUGUGGUGCUGAAUCCAUGUCUCAGCGUUUCCAGGAUUGGAUGCGUAAGAAUGGAAUUCUUCACCAGACGUCGGCUCCUUACACACCGGCUCAUAAUGGGGUCGUAGAGAGACAACAAGGGGUACUGCAAACCAUGAUGAGUUGUCUCCUAGAAGACGCCAACCUUAGUAACCCAUACUGGGGUGAAGCUAUCAAAUAUGCAAAUUACAUUGUCAACCGUACUUGGAGCAGUGUAAUAAAUCAGACUCCUUUCUUCAUGAUGUAUGGCUACAAGCCUGAUCUCAAAAACAUCCAUAUUUUUGGUUUAUAUGCUAUGGUGAACAUUCCCUUAGCUCAAAGAAGAAAAGGAGGUCCAGCAGCAAAGAGACUGAGAUUUAUGGGUAUUGAUGAUAACUCAAAAUGGAGCAAAUUUAUUGACUCUAAACAUGUAAUUGUGAUUUCCCAAUCUGCUAAUUUUGAGGAAGAUAUUGACUGGUCCAGGAUUCAUCCAAUGAUCGUGGAGUUUAUUUUCCUAGAGAUGAUACUGCUGAUGCUGCGCAGAUUGAUGAUCAAGAUUCCACUAGUUCUUCUCAACCUGAUGUUCCGUCUUCGCAAGCCGCGGAUGCUGAUGCUAGCGACAAAUGUGAGGAUGAGGACAAAGCGGAAGAAGACUGGACUGUUGUUCCGAGACGUUCCAAGAGGUCACAAAGGGAAUCCCUCAGAGGGAUUCCCUCCACAACGAUAUUCUUGGCAACUGACAAAAACACCCUUACGUUUGAUUUGCAAUGUUACACUUCCACCUGAUACGUUCACGCAAAUCAAACAUCUUCCUGAUUCAGAGCAAGACAAAUGGUAUGAAGCAAUGCAGGUUGAAAUGGACAGUCUAAAGCAACUUAAAGUGUUUACACCUACAAAACCUCCAGCAAACAAAAGGGUCAUUGGCACUCGUUUUUGCAUUUACCAGAUGAGUCAUAUUUUUGGACUUUAAGACUUUCCGUAGCUUGCCAAACUUCUUAUCAGUAAGCUAACUACGCAUGUCUGCAUUCCUUUCUUUCUACUUCUACACUUUCUUUGUUCUCUUGCCAAGAAGUCCGGCUGCUGAGAGGUAGCCGGCAGGAACGUUGCCAAAAUGUAAUUAUUUAUAUAGUUAGAUGUUUUAUUUUCUUUAUAACAAAUAAAUGAGUUUUUCCUUAGAAAAAUAUAUCUUCGGGUUUUAUUUUCUUAAAGUAUGCACAAGGAAAAUGUCACGAUCCACGUCUCUAAAUCAAGGUGCGAUUACCCAAAAGCAGAAUGGGAUUAAUUAGCACCCUGACAGAUUUGUCCAGUUCUUCUUUUUUUCUUUAAUAUUCUUCCUUCCUUGCUUCAUCAAAGUCCCAACUUUUCUUUCUAUAGAGUGUCACACUCUAUAGAAGUCAUUGCUUGCACUGUUCUGAUUUAAAUGAAUACAACUAUCCCUGUUGUAUAUUCAAUAAUAAGGACUGUUCAAGUAUUAAUUGCUUUAAUGUUUUCACCAUUUAGCUUUGAUUUCAAAAUUUUCCAACUCACUGUAUUUUCUUUGACUUGAUUCUGUGAUAAAUCGGAAGACUCCAAAAUUACCAAAUAUUUGUAACCGCUUUGUUCCACUUCUUACAAAAUCUUCAUUGUUAAGCAUAUUCUAUCAUCUUCAACAAUCUUACUUGCCUUUAUGGUUAUGGUUGUAUAUAUGUUAAUACAAUAUUGUACUUCAUAUCUUUACUGAAUCCGUAGUGAUCUUUUUUAAUAAGGAAUCUAGUUCAGCCUUUGUUCUUCCAAGUAAUUUUAAAUCAUCAAUAUUGAGUAAAUGUGAAUUUUUUACUUUGUUUUCGCAAAUGUAUAUUCACAGUUUGUCUUGUUCAAACUUGUUUUCAGCAAGACCAUUGAGAGUGCAAACAAUAAUGGUGAUAAUGAGUCAUCUUGGAAAAUUCCACAUUUGAUUUUGACUUCUAACCCAUUAGCCGUCAGCUUCGUUCACCAAAACUUCAUUGAAGUAUUCAUAAACCAGCCUGCUUUCCAUUGAGGACCUGUGUCAGGUCCCAGAUAUUUCUACAGGGAUGCUGGCAUUUUGGUGGGAGGAAGAGGGGAGGAAUGGAGUGAUCUGAUUAUGAAGUUUUUGUUUCCUGCACUACUGUGCUAAUCUCUAUAUGAAGUUUCUGUUUCUGUUUCUUGCAUUACUCUGUGUUAAUCUCAAUAUGAAGUUUCUGUUUCCCUGCAGUGAUGUAGUGUGGGAGGGGCUUGGUUAGCAUUGCUUUAAGUAGCUGGUUUUAAGUGAAAAGCUUCAGUUCUUGCCUAGAUCUCUUGUUAUCACAAACCUUUCAAUAAAAGCUCCUUUUGGAAUAACUGCAGUUUCAAGAGUCCUGCUUUCUUGGGAAGAUUGGAGAGGCAAGACCUUACAACCUGUAUAUUGCACAACCAGAAAGACGACUGAGAAAAUAUCUUACAUACCCCUCACUUCCUGGACAUAAACUGUUUCAACACCUCCCCUCAGGACUCUUCUAUAGGGCAUUCCAUGCCAAAAUAAUGGGUUGUUUGUAUGUACACUGAGACCUCAUGCACCAGAGACAAAUCCCCAUGUAUGUUCAAUCACACUUGGCCAAUAAAGAAUUCUACUCUACUCCACUCCUUAAAACCAAUUUGUCAAUCAAACUCAUCCUUCAUUCCUUUCAAACUUUUGCAACGUUCUUUUUAUUCUACAGGAAAUAAAUCAUUUCUUUUCAAAUAACUAGAUUUGAUUUGCAAUUAUGCCUGUAAGAGAAUUUGUUAUUGCAAACAGUUAUGUGUCUGUAGUAUCUAUGCUCAUUUUCCUUCUCUUUCUUUUUCUGAGAAAUGGGAAUGUUCUUCCAGUUGCUAGCCAGUUUCCAUUUUCUACAGCUUCCAAAAUUAUAUUCAUCAGAAUCCCAACCUCAAGUGUGGAUUUGUCAGUGAUUUUAGCCAGAAUCCAUGGAGCUCAUCUGGUUCAGGAGCACUCCAGUUUUUUACCUUCUCUGAUUGCUUUCAUACUAUUUCUUCAGCCAUCCUAAUCUCUUCCAUACUGAGUACUUUCAGCUUGGUUGACCCAUUUUGCAUUCCCAGUGUGACUCCUGUUGUUUUCCCACAAACCUUUCUCUAAAGCUUUAUCUUCCAAAGUUUUUUUUUUAAUUUUUCAAACAAAAAACAACAUAAAAGCAUCAUCCUUUCAAACAAUUACAGACAGUGUUUCAGUCGGUUAAUAUUUUCGUGCUCACAAACUCUUCAAGAUAUCAAUAUAUGACACGUUUCUUUUCCACUAAGAAAAAGACAAAUUUUUACACAUUUUAUCUUAAUUUCAUUUCAUAUAUCAUAUUUCAUCUCCAUGUUUUAUUACCUAUCCAUUGAUAAAAUAAAUCCCAUAUCAAAUAAUAUUGUUUAUCUUCCUGUUCUCUUAUUUCAAAUGUCAAUUUACUCAUUUCAGCACAAUCCAACAUUUUCUUAAUAAUUUCUUCAUCAAUAGGUAUCUUCUCUCCUUUCCAAUUUUUGGCAAAUACAAUUCUAGCUGCUGUUAAAACAUUCACAAUUAAAUAUUGCAGUUCUUUAUUAAAUGUCUCUGGUAAGAUCCCUAAUAAAAAUGUCUCUGAUUUAAAAUCAAUAUGUCUCUUUGUCAUUUUUUCCAAAAAUGUGUGUAUCUAAUAUCUCCUUGCUUCUACGCAUGUCCACCACAUAUGGUAAUAUGAUCCUGGGGUCUGAUGACAUUUCCAACACUUCUUCAAUUUAUUCUUAAACAUUCUGGCUAUCCUCGCCGGGGGUAGAUGCCACCUGUAAAACAUCUUAUACAAAUUCUCCUUAUAUGCUGUAGACAUUUUCAUUUUAUAAUUAUGCAACCACCAUUUUUGCCAUUUCUCUAAAUCAAUAGAGAAGUACUACCAAGAGCCUUGGUAGUACAGGGGUUUAAGGCACCCUGUUAUUAAGCUGGUUAUUAAGACCAGCUGCCUGCAAUUACUGCAGGGUUCGAAUCUCGCCAAGGCUCAAGGUUGACUCAGCCUUCCAUCCUUUCUAAGGUAGGUGAAAUGAGGACCCAGUUUGUGGGGACAAUAAGCUGACUUUGUAUAAAUAUACAAAAGGAUGAAGGCUAUUGCUGAGCACAUUGUAAGCCGCCCUGAGUCUUCGGAGAAGGGCGGCAUAUAAAUCAAAUUAAAAAAAAAAAAAUACCGUAACCAAAUUUUUUCCCCCACGCUAUCAUUGAUUCUUUAACUUGUUCUUCUUCCAAUUUUACUUCUAGCAAAUAUCCGUAUAACUUUUUAAUUACAUGGUCAUCUGAACCCAUUAAAAUCUUAUCUAAAUUAGUCAAAACAUUAUAAAAACCUUCUUGUUUGAGAUCUUCUCGAUAUCUAGAAACUAUUUGCAUAUAUGAAAACCAGUCCAUCUUACAUCCCUGAUCUUCUAAUUCCUGCUUUAAUUUAAGUUCCCCCUUUUCAUCCAAUAAUUCACUAUAUCUAAUAAUUUGUUCCCUUUUAUAUAUUACUGGAUAUGAAAAAGCUUCAAUUGUAGAUACCCAGACUGGAAUCUUCAGAUAGUGAUUUUUUUUAGCCUUCUCCCAAUUCAACCAGAAAGCUUCCUGUAUCUGAUGUCUUCUAAAGUACCCCUGUAUUUUAGUUCCUUUAUACCAUAGAAAGACAUGCCAUUCCAUCAACAAAUCAUGUCCCUCCAAGUUCAAUAAUCUAGUAUUUCUCAAAGUUAUCUAUUCUUUAAUCCACAUUAAACUUGUUGCUUGAUAGUAUAGUUCAAAGUUAGGCAGGCCAAAGCCACCCCUCAUUUUAGCAUCUUGUAACAACUUUAAUUUUAUUCUCGUCUUCUUUCCCUGCCAAAUAUAUUUCAAUAUCAUUUUAUUCAAAUCUAUAAAGAAUUCCUUACACAACUUGAUCGGGAUUGUCUGAAAUAGAUACAAAAUUCUAGGCAAAAUGUUCAUCUUAAUCAUUGAGAUCCUACCAAUCAAAAAUAGCUGCAAAUUUCCCCAUUUCAUCAAAUCUUGCCCUAUUUGUUCUUUAAGCUUAUUAUAAUUAUUUUCUUUAAGUGUGCUACACCUUGCUGUCAAAUAGAUGCCCAAAUAUUUUACCUUAUUUGUAACCUGCAUCUUUGAAAUCUCCAUCAAUUCCUCUUUUUGCUUUUUCAAUGUAUUUUUAGUCAUUAUCUUAGUUUUAUCUUUAUUAAUUUUCAAGCCAGCUACUUUCCCAAACUCUCCAAUAGAUUCUAUCAAUUUAUUUAUUGUUAUUAAUGGUUCCUCAAUAAUAAAGACCAGGUCAUCUGCAAAGGCUUGUAAUUUAUAUUCUUCUUUUCAUAUUUUCAUACCUUUUAUCUCUUUUUCUUCUCUGAUAUUUCUAUUUAAAACUUCUAAAGUCAAUAUAAACAACAAUGGGGACAACGGAUAUCCUUGUCUAGUACCUUUUUCUAUUUCAAUAGAGUCAGUCAAUUCACCAUUUAUCAUUACUUUUGCCAUCUGUUUAAAAUAUAUAGCUUCAAUUGCCUGGAUAAAUUUCCUACCAAAGCCCAUCUCUUCCAUUUGAAGUAUCAUAAAUUGCCAGUUAACAUUGUCAAAAGCUUUUUGUGUAUCUAAAAAUAUCAACACCAUCUGCUUUUCCGGAUGUGCUUCGUAGUAUUCUAAAGUAUCCAGAAUUAUUCUUUUAUUAUCUCUAAUUUGUCUUUUUGGGAGAAAUCCAUUCUGAUCUGUAUGUAUAAAAUUAUUCAGGUAUCUCUUAAGUCUUUCUGCCAGUAUUGUAGCAAAAAUUUUGUAAUCUGAAUUUAGCAGGGAAAUAGGCCUAUAAUUUUUGAUUUGUUGUGGGUCUGUAUCUUCCUUAUGAAUCAAUGUAAUGUACGCCUCAGUCCAUGAUUUGGGUAUUUUCUUCUUUAUCAUCACUUCAUUCAUGACAUCCAGUAAUGGGAGACUUAAAGAUUCUUGUAAUGUCCUGUAAUAUUCAACAGGUAAGCCAUCUGGUUCUGGUGCCUUUCCAUUCUUCUGUUUCUUAAUUGCUUCUGUUAAUUCCAUCAUUGUUAUAUUCCCCUCCAACAUCUCUUCAGUAUCUUUGGGAAUCCGAGGUAAUUUUGCAUCUUGUAGAUAUCUUGCCACUUUUUCCUCCUCUAUCAUCUCUCUUUUGUGAAGUUGUCUAUAAUAUUCUUGUAUUAUUUUCCCCAUCUCUUUAUUUCCAAAUUUACUUUGCCCUUGAUCAUCAACUAGUUAAAUUAUUUUUCUUGAUUCUCUUUCUUUUUUCAAUUUAUAUGCUAGCCAUCUUCCUGGUUUAUUCGCAUUUUCAAAGUAAUUCUGUUUUGCACUUCUUAUUUUUUGGGGUAAAUCUUCUUUCUCCAAUAGGUCCAUUUUAUGUUUUAUUGUGUCCAUUUUAAUUUUGAUAUCUUUCUUAUAUGGACCUUUCUGGAGUUCCUUUUCAAGUCUUUUAUAAUCGUCAAUCAAUAUUUUAAAGUUCUGUCUUUUCUUAACAUUUCCUUGUAUAGUCUAUGAUUAAUCCUCUGGCAUAGGCCUUCAUUGUAUCCCAAUGAUUUUGUGCCGAUGUUUCCUUCUUGUUUUCUUUAAAGAAGUCCAACUCUCUUUCCAUUUUCUGUACAAAAUCUUUCUCUUUUAAUAUUGUGGUAUUUAAAGUCCAUCUAGAUCUUCUUUUACGCCCUUUCCAUAUAAAUGUCACCAGAUUAUGAUCUGCCCAUAAAUUAGGUUUUAUUUCCACAUGUUCUAUAUUCAACAUCAAAUCCAUUGUUGUCCAUAUCAUAUCUAGUCUGGACUAUCAUACAUAUAUUAUCAUAUUCCAUUUCAAUUAUUUUGUUACGUAAUUUUCUAUAAAAGUCUCUUUGAUUGUCAUUUGGAGCAUAUAUUGCUACUAGAAGAAUUUUCAUAUUAUUAUCUAUUAAUUCCACUAUCAGAAUUCUACCUUCUUCGUCUGCAUAUUUUUGCUCCACCAAUAUUACAUUUUUGAUAUAUAAGGCAACUCCUCUCUUUUUACUUUGUGAUAGUAAUAGAAAAGUUCUUCCAAGUUUUGGUUGUAUCAAUAGUUGUUCAUGCUGUUUUUUAAUAUGCACUUCUUGUAAACAAAUUAUGUCAAAUUUUAGUUUCUCUAAUUUAGUCCAUUUACAUUUAUUGAAAUUAAUUUCCUUUCUUCCAUGUUCAUACUUCAUAUGUAGGUUUUGUUGCUCUAGAUGAUCUUACUUCACGUUGUUCCUUACGUUCCACAACCCCACCGACAGCUCCUUCUGUUGAUUCAAGCAUUGCCAGUUCUUCUUCUGUGAAUGUAAUUGGAACUACUGCAGCUUGUGUUUCAACUUGGAUUACUACUUCUUUUUCUUUAAGAAGUUCAUCGUAAAAAGCUCUUGCUUUCUCAGUUGUAUUCAACCUACAUCCUUGGAGCUGCCAUGUGAAAGUUAAUCCUUCUGGGACCAGUCAUCUAUAGUUAACUCCUUUUUGAAUCAAGAUUUUUUGUCAAGAAUUGGCAUUCUCUUCUCAGCUCUCUAAUCUUUCUUGGUAUUUGUUUCAAGACAGCCACUUCUUUCUCCUUGUACUUCAGGGUUUUUUCUCUAGCUGCCUGAAGUAUUUGUGUUUUAAUCAAUUUCUUGGUAAAUCUUAUGUGUACUUCUCUUGGCAGUUUGUUGCGCAUAGCAUAUCUGGUAUAAACUCGAUAAAUUUUGUCCACCCCAUCCAUCAUUUUCUCUUUAGUGAUUUCUAGCUCCUCAGCCAGCAAAUUAAUCAUAAUAUCCGCCAAAUUUUCUCCUUUUUCUUCCUCCACAUUUUGGAAUCUCAAAUAAAAUUCCCCUUUGUCCAUCUCCCAUCCAAUAAAACCACUUGUUUCUUGUUCAACCUCUCCCAAUCUAUUCUCUAUUUCUUUUAUUUUUUCCACGUUUUGAUCAUCUCUCUUCUCUAGUUUUGACAUUCUUUCUUCAUAUUUUAACAUUGUUUGCUGAAUACUGAUCACUUUUUCAUCCAUUUUAUGAACUUUCUCAUCUGUCUUAAGUAGUUGUUGUUCCAUUCUUAAAACUGUUUGAAAAAUCAUUUGUAGUGAUGGGUCUUUCUCCUUCUCUUGCUGCAACAUUGCUUGUAUAGAUCUUUGUCCUUCGGAUGGUGAUGAGAAAGGCGUGGAGGCAGCAACUCCCACUGUUGCUACUUUUCUGCUCAUUUUGUUGAAUAUCCAGCCAAAGCAACGUCCAGGAAAAAAAACAAGUUUUAAAAAGAAAAGGCCAAGCAAAUAAAAAAGAAAAAAGUGUCCAUCUAAGCAGUCAAACCAAUCUCUUUAAUUUUUUUUCUUUUAAAAAGGCAGAGUUUAAAAAAUUAGCAAUGCUAAUCUUCUCACUUCAAUCCAGUCCCGGGCUAUAGUGAAAGUGAAACACUUAAGUCUUUCGAAUUAGAUAAUUGGGUAUUAGAAGAAAAACUUUUCCCAGGUCAUUUCGCUGCUUCUCUCUUACUCUCUAUCUCCAGCUUCAAAAUCUUUUUCCUUUAGAGUGUUCUUUGUAUCAUUUAAAGAAGUAAAGAUUCUCUCACCGAUCCGAUUUACUGUCUUUCAUUCCUCUCUUCCUGAAACUGCCCCAGCCUCGGCAGCCUAUGGCUGCUGCUCCGCCGCCAGAAAAAGAGCUUUCCUGGAUCAACCAGGGACUUUGCGAUGUCCCUGGGAUCCACAGGAUGUGCUCUCCACUACCACAGUCAAAACUAGACUGUGGGGUCUGAGAUGGACCAUCCAGCAGCGGAGUUAUCGGCAGGAAUUCUGGAGCCCCAGAAAUUCCUGUCAUCUCGCAGAGGCAUCAGCUUCCAGCAUUCCCUCUAAAGCUUUAUGAAGCUUUCCAUUAUUUGUGAUUGGUCCUUUCUCAUUAUCGAUGGAUUUGUAGAAUUGAUGCUGAUUUGGUCUAAACUGCAAAUUCUGCUGAAAUUGAAUUAUUUGAUUGUCAUAGCACUUGAUUUUCCUUGUAAUAACAAUGACUCUAUUAUUAUGGUUCACAGUUACUAAAGUAAUAAAAAAAUAACUAUGACCAGUCUUCUCAUUUAUGACCUUCAGGUCUGAAAGCAAAGGCAAGCUGAAGUUAAGUCCGUAAGCAUAGUGAUAGGUCUUAUUUAGCUAUCAACAACAACUGAAUUGCUGGUCCCAAUUGUGAUAACUAACUUAAGGACUAUUGCUAGUUAUUUUCUACUAUGUUUUUGAAACAUAAGAGAUUGGCAGUGAAGCCUCUUUAAUAGAAUGAUCUAAAUCAUUUAGCAAAAUUAAGGUGUUGCUUCAAACCAUAAUUUAGUAUAAAAUCUGAAUUUUAAAAACCGUGGUUUGUAGCAGCUUCACAGCAGGAGGAGUUGCUGGGCAUAGAUAGAAACAUCCAGGAUCUUGGAUGCUGCAUGACAUCUAUCCUUGUUCCAUGAUCUUGACAGUUUUCUUGCUGAAUUCGAUAGACGCCUGCUGCAGCCAGCCCAGGUGUGUGAUAUUUUCAAAGGUGUAAUACUUGUAAUUUGCUACUUCAUGAU